UUAAGUCCGCUAACGAGCGCAACCCUCGCUGUGUGUUACAAGUGUCACACGGUACUGCCGGUCUUAAGCGGAGGAAGGUGGGAUGACGUCAAGUCAGCAUGGCCUUUAUGUCCUGGGCUACACACACGCUACAAUGGCCAACACAAUAGGUUGCUAAGCCGCGAGGUGGAGCCAAUCCUCAAAGUUGGUCUCAGUUCAGAUUGCAGGCUGCAACCCGCCUGCAUGAAGAUGGAGUUGCUAGUAACCGCAGGUCAGCUAUACUGCGGUGAAUACGUUCCCGGGGCUU
rnacentral:rRNA from 1 species